rnacentral:rRNA from 1 species
CCUACGGGUGACAGCAGUCGAGAAUCAUUCACAAUGGGGGAAACCCUGAUGGUGCGACGCCGCGUGGGGGAAUGAAGGUCUUCGGAUUGUAAACCCCUGUCAUGGGGGAGCAAAUUAACAAGAUGGUACCACAAGAGGAAGAGACGGCCAACUCUGUGCCAGCAGCCGCGGUAAUACAGAGGUCUCAAGCGUUGUUCGGAAUCACGUGGCGUAAAGGGUGCGUAAGCGGUUUUGUAAGUCGUGGGUGAAAGGCGCGGGCUCAACCCGCGGCCGGCGCAUGAUACUGGGAGACUAGAGUAAGGGAGAGGGAACCGGAAUUCUCGGUGUAGCAGUGAAAUGCGUAGAUAUCGGGAGGAACACUCGUGGCGAAGGCGGGUUACUGGACAUUAACUGACGCUGAGGCACGAAGGCCAGGGGAGCGAAAGGGAUUAGAUACCCCAGUAGUC